rfam:Otolemur garnettii contig081463, whole genome shotgun sequence.
CAGCAUAUCACCUAAUCUUUGAUCACAUUAUGACAGAAUAGGAAAACAAAAAAACCCAAACCUUGUUAUUUCUCAUGUGCUAUACAGAUAGUUGAAGGUUAAUUAGCAGUAUAACUAUAAAUAGUAAUGCUGCCAGUCUCCUUCAGACAAGA